ACGAACCGUGCGAACGUUGUUCGGAAUCACUGGGCUUAAAGGGCGCGUAGGCGGGCCACCAAGUCUGCGGUGAAAUCCCUCGGCUCAACUGAGGAACUGCACGGGAAACUGCUUGGCUUGAGUUCGGGAGAGGGAAGCGGAAUUCCGGGUGUAGCGGUGAAAUGCGUAGAUAUCCGGAGGAACACCGGUGGCGAAGGCGGCUUCCUGGACCGACACUGACGCUGAGGCGCGAAAGCUAGGGGAGCAAACGGGA
rnacentral:rRNA from 1 species